AAGGUGAUGUAAAAUUUGAACUUACAUAACAAGCUCAAAGUUUACCUGAUUACUUGACGGAUAUCAAAAUUAACAAACAUUUAUAAAAUUGAACUUUUUGUUUGAGGAAUUAAGCUUUCGUGUAAUAUCAGCGAACCUUAAUCUAUAGAAGAACUUUAAAGACCUAAAUAGAAAUGUCAACGAAAAAAAUAAGAAGAUUCCAGAACGAACCUAUUCGUAAUAAAAAUGUGCGCACAUUGGGAGGUAUUGGAGAAAAACACGGCGAGAAGUUACGAAAGAAAGGUUAUGGAAAAGCUGCUAAUGUCGUCAAAGAAUUCAUGAGCAUGGAAGAAUCUAAAAGCGAAUUCGUAAACUUUCUGAGAAAAAAUGUCCCUCGUGCAAAUAGAAAACACGUUGGUGAUUGUUACGAGUCAGUGAGGGGGUGGUGCGACAAUCAUCCAGAUGAAAAAGAUAAAUAUAACUUACAGACCAACGUUCCUAGGUCAGAGGAAUAAAAGUCGUGAUGUCUGUUUCUUGAUCUGGAAUGAUAAACAUUUUGGCGACAUUGAAGUCUUUAUCACAUUGCCAUUUAUCUACCAUUUUCAUAUUAUAUGUUCGUUAAGACAAAUGGAUAGAACACAUGAAUCUUAUUUCGACGAAAACGUAUUCCAGUGCAUGGAUUUACAUAUUGACAUUUCAUUCUUUUAUGAUACACUUGUUAAAUCAUAUAUAUGUUUGUAUGUUUGACGUAUGUUUAAUUAUAAAAUAAACAAGUGAAACAGGAAAAGAUACGUUCAAAGGACCAAGCCCCCUAAAAGUGAAACCCUUUGCAGUUUAUAUAUUUAUGUUUAAUCAUGCCAAUAUAUUUAAUUAUCUCAAAAUGUUUUAUGGACAUGUCGUCUCUGCUCUCAACCAUGUGUAAUUUCAAAAUAUCUGAAAAGAAAAUGCAUAUGAUUGUAAACUUUCACCAUACUUGUGGCGCUGUAAUUACCGGAAUAGUAGAAAAUUUCGAAUAUUCCAUUACUAUCGCUUACUAAAUUAAAUCUUUUAUGAAAUUGCUAGUACGUCCUGGGGUUUAAGUCGCCACCACACCGUCAGUACAUUAUCUUAACAUAGACUUAAAGGAGAAAUAUUACAAAUUUCGUUGUGUAAAACAAUAAGGACUGAACUGUUCAUUGCAGUAGGUAACAAGGAUAUGUCAUGUUUGAAUGACCAGCGUUUUGUCUUGAAAUUGUUACAAUUAAAGCUGUAAGCAUUCUGAGCAUUUGUGCAGUUUUUUUUUAAAGAAAAUGAAUAAUGACAUUAGAAGAACAACGAAAAUGCAGUUAUGCUCAGGUUAGUGAUAGAGGGCCACGAUGGGCCUCUUGUUAUUAAUGAUGUAUGUUCACAAUUGAAUGCCCACACUUCACUGUCAAUAAGUCGAUGGCACAAAGGAUUAUGCUAAUGUAGGCUAAUACUUGAGUGACGAAAUGCAUAAGGCGCCGCUGUUGUUUCUCACGGCGGUACCGGCGUCACUCUCAUGUCUUCCUGACAAUUUAAAUAUUUUUACUUACACCAUCUGAACAAAAGACAUAUUUCAAAAGCAAUAAAGCACAGAGCAGAGAAAGACAGAAAGCUAAAACUGAAAACCAAAAAAUGCAUUACACAGGCCUGCAUAAGCAUAACAAAUGUUAAGUUUCAUAAACGAAGUGUCCACACGUUAAUUUCUUUAAAUCAUCAUUUUAUGUGUACAACAAAGAAUAAAGGUUUCGAUCCUUUGACUCAUAAUGCACAAGACCACCCCGUAUAAAAUUCGUAAAUAAAGAUUUAUCAUAUUAAUAAAUUUGAUACUAGUAUCCGUUAUUUGUAUGAAUAUAUUAUCUUAAAUUCGGAUUUCUAAUUACUCAUUUCAAUGUUUUAUAGUCUCCUAAAGAUGAUAAUCAGGUAUAGAACGUAUCAAAUAUAGGUCAAAGGUUUUAGCAAUACAGUUCAAAAAGAAAAAGAUAAUUUCAAGUUCUUAUAUGUUAAUAUAUACCUCAUAAUGAACUUGUUUACAUAAAAGAAAAAACGACAUUCUGUUUUUUCUAUUAAAACGAAGUCAUCCAUGAAACCUUCCAGCAACAUUUUCAUUUGUGUAGAAUUUCCAUUUGCUGGCGUCUUUUGUAAGUAAGUUAUGUGAUCUGUGGAUAUAUAUAAUAUUUAUUUUUAAACCUGAUCUUUUUGACUUACAUGAAUGAAUAUCAUAAUAUAAAAGAAUACUUAACGCUGUGUAUUUUGUUUUCAUUUCAUAGAGUUUUACUACCUACACGAGCUAUUAAGAAUUGUAACUUUUAAUUUGUUUAAUACAAUGAUAUUUCUAGAAACGAAGGAUUUUAUUCAUACACGUGUAUCUAUCGUCAACUAUUUUGUACCACCACAACCUGGUACAAUAAGGCUAU